rnacentral:rRNA from 1 species
UACGGGGGGGGCAAGCGUUGUUCGGAAUUAUUGGGCGUAAAGAGCUUGUAGGCGGUUUGUCGCGUCUGCUGUGAAAACUCGGGGCUUAACCCCGGGCCUGCAGUGGGUACGGGCAGACUAGAGUGCGGUAGGGGAGACUGGAAUUCCUGGUGUAGCGGUGAAAUGCGUAGAUAUUGGGAGGAACACCAGUGGCGAAGGCGGCUCACUGGACUGGUACUGACGCUGAGGCGCGAAAGCGUGGGGAGCAAACGGG